UUGUCACACCCCGGCUUAGUGGGCCCCAGCUCAAGCCCCUCUAUGGGUGGCCAUCUUGCCAGCGUACCCCUCUAGAGGCCGGCGAUGCAACUCAAAUCGGUGAGUGGGCCACCUGUUGUCUGUUUUCAAUGAGAUUGUUCAUUGUAAGCUUUGCCAACUAUUAUUGCCAGAGAAAGGAAACAGGAAAAAAGAAGUCUUUGUAAUGAACGAUAAGUAAGCAACUACAGGAGAAUAGAAUUAAUGCAUCUAGCCCAUAUUUCCAUGCAUCAAUCCAUGUCCAAAUGAUACACUUAGUCAUAUUGUGGAAUAUAGAUAACAUUGUUAUGAGAGGUGGUUAUGGAGGGAAAAGCUAGUGUUGCAGUUAUAGAUAUCAUAGAAGAGUAGUUAUAACUGAUAGAAGCAGU
rnacentral:misc_RNA from 1 species